CAAUCGGUCCUUUUCAGGACCACCAAUCCAUUUUAUUAAAAGAGAU
rfam:Drosophila virilis strain TSC#15010-1051.87 Ctg01_9586, whole genome shotgun sequence.